CGGCUUGUAAUUUCUUCAGUCCAUUAUUGGGUUUGUUUUCAUUUGCUGUUUCUAAGAUUCCAGAGCUAGAAGUGAGGAGAUUCAGUCCAGUGUUUACCGCGGAAUCGACAGGAGCUGAAGAUGACCCAUCCUUUAUCUCUUGAUCACAAUGAAUUUUAUCAUCAGUCCUAUCCCUUGAGAAGAAAUCCACUUCUUUGAUGGUGGACUUGCCGGUAUCGACGGAAUUGUGGGUUAAGCGAUCA
rnacentral:misc_RNA from 1 species